rnacentral:rRNA from 1 species
GACGAACGCUGGCGGCGUGCUUAACACAUGCAAGUCGAACGGUGAAGCGCUUGCCUUUUUGGUGGGUGUGGAUGAGUGGCGAACGGGUGAGUAACACGUGAGUAACCUGCCCUCUUCUUCUGGAUAACCUCAUGAAAGUGGGGCUAAUACGGGGUAUUCCGGGUCUGUCGCAUGGCGGGUUUGGGAAAGAUUGCGCCUUUGGGUGUUUUCGGUGGGGGAUGGGCUCGCGGCCUAUCAGCUUGUUGGUGGGGUGAUGGCCUACCAAGGCGGUGACGGGUAGCCGGCCGGAGAGGGUGGACGGCCACACUGGGACUGAGACACGGCCCAGACUCCUGCGGGAGGCAGCAGUGGGGAAUAUUGCACAAUGGGCGCAAGCCUGAUGCAGCGACGCCGCGUGAGGGAUGGAGGCCUUCGGGUUGUGAACCUCUUUCGCCAGUGAAGCAGGCCUGCUCCUGUGUGGGUGGGUUGACGGUAGCUGGAUAAGAAGCGCCGGCUAACUACGUG